GAAGAGGAUGAAAAAGAAGAAAAGGCUGAAUAGAUGAUGAGAGGGGACCUCUCUGAUG
rnacentral:snoRNA from 16 species